rnacentral:misc_RNA from 1 species
UCGAGUUUGACGAGGGUUCGAUGCUGGCCUUUCGAGGCAUGUGCUCGCCCCGCUCAUCCAUCUCACCCCUGUGCACCUCCUGUGGGCUCUGGUUGACGGGUUGGAAACGACCUGAGAUGCCGUCCCAUGUUUUUUACACACACUACUAGUUCAGAAUGUAACUCUGCGUAUAACGCAUAUUAAAUA